rnacentral:rRNA from 1 species
UACAGAGGGGGCAAGCGUUAUUCGGAAUUAUUGGGCGUAAAGGGCGCGUAGGCGGCGGCUCAAGUCGGGGGUGAAAUCCUCUCGCUUAACGAGAGAAUUGCUUUCGAUACUGGGUCGCUGGAGGGAGAUAGGGGUGCGCGGAACUUCCGGUGGAGCGGUGAAAUGCGUAGAUAUCGGAAGGAACGCCGGUGGCGAAAGCGGCGCACUGGAUCUCUUCUGACGCUGAGGCGCGAAAGCCAGGGGAGCAAACGGG